rnacentral:lncRNA from 1 species
UUCCAAUAUUUACAAUACAUUCAAAGAGAUUUGGUUGAUAUUUAAAUAUUUAAUUGUUUACUUAAUGGCGACACUGGGCGAUUCCAGCAUUUUCAUGGUGAGCUGCUGUGGAAAGGCACUUACGAAGAGAGCACGGAUUGUGUCUGCACUUGUGAUUUCAUUCGGCAUCCUGAGCUGCUUGGUUUCAUCUCCAUACUGGAGAUAGAGAACCCCUGC